UACGUAGGUGGCGAGCGUUGUCCGGAAUUACUGGGUGUAAAGCGCGCGUAGGCGGUAGGCCAAGUCUGCUGUGAAAUCGCCCGGCUCAACUGGGCGGGGUCCGUGGAAACUGGUCAACUGGAGGACGGUAGAGGCAAGUGGAAUUCCCGGUGUAGUGGUGAAAUGCGUAGAGAUCGGGAGGAACACCAGUGGCGAAGGCGGCUUGCUGGGCCGGUACUGACGCUGAGGCACGAAAGCGUGGGGAGCAAACAGG
rnacentral:rRNA from 1 species